AAAGCCUCAAUCUGAAUGCACUUCAAUUAGCAGAGUGCAGGUCCCAGGGCCUCCUGGGCGAGCUGCAGCUGCAGAGAUUAAGCCACUUCCAGCCACCCUGCUGUGACCGCUGUGUUCCUGGAUGUAUCAGAUCUUCAAUCAACAAGAUCCAAGCCCUAACCUCAUUUAGAUGUUUUCUCAACAAAGGUCAAAACUUAUCUGUCUGCUGAGACCCCCUCAUUCUUAAAGGAAGCAUUCUGCUGCUAAUUAAUUCAUUCAGAUGAAACCAGCAAAAAUGUCAGUGUAACAAAUUAGAUACUCAUUGAUUAUUGGCUUAAGAAAGAGUUAAAGGUUCUGUCCUGGAGAAGUGGGCUAGGCAGGUCUUUAAAGUGAUACACACAUCAUCCUUUACUGUUCAUACAGGCUCUGGAAUUGGUACUUUAUCUGUGAAUAUGUCUAUAGGAAUUCCCUGUGUCUCUGUUCUUACCUGCCUGUAGGCCAAGGUUUGGAGGAGAUAGGCUAAAUUCAGCUGUGACCUGGCUCUAGAGUGACCAGAGGUCAACAAACAUCAACAGCAACAGCUAGGGUCCAACAGUGAGGAGCUCCAUGUCCUUCGCAUAUACACUCUAAUAGAGUUACAACAGGAGAUGCUGUCCAUCUGCCAGCAAGGAAGGACCAUCCAACUCCAUAAAAGUUGGAGUUGGACUCCACAUUCCUUAUGGGUCCCUUCCAACUCGGGACAUUCCAUGAUUCUAUGAUUCCACGAUAUGAAGCCAUUCACUGCUAACAUCCUUAUGCAACCCCCAAGCAGGAUGAGCAGCAUCCCCCUCUCUCCCCUUGUACCAGUCUUGGGUUGUGUCUUUGCUCAUCACAGAAGAGCCACGGGAGGAUGGAGCAGCAGAGAUAGCCAGAAAAAAAGACUCUUGCACCUGAGGCAGGAUGCAGAACAGUGCUCAGGGACAACCUCAGCAGCCUUCAAGAAAGAAAAACUGGAGGCAAUGGCAACAACUGUUUUGAAAAGCACGGUGAGGUCACUGUCAGGAGCUGAUUUAAACUCUGUGUGUUUUAAUCAAAAAUCUGGAUUGAGGAUUAAGUUUGAGAAAGAAAUCACAUAGCUGUAUUUAAUUAAUCGAGGCUUUAAGUGACCUAAAUGGAAAUACUCUAUAAUGAUAACUCCUUCGCUGGCUUAAGACAGGUUGUACUGAUGAUAUGUAUUAUGUUUCCCCUACGCUGAAAUAACCACGAUUAGUUCCCUACCUGGGAGAGUCCCUUUGCCCUAGUAAAGCCUCUUU
ensembl:lncRNA